rnacentral:rRNA from 1 species
GAUGAACGCUGGCGGCGUGCUUAACACAUGCAAGUCGAACGAGUGGCGAACGGGUGAGUAACACGUGGGUGACCUUCCCUGCACUUCGGGAUAAGCCUGGGAAACUGGGUCUUAUACCGGAUAGUGUGGGAUGGGGCCGCGGCCUAUCAGCUUGUUGGUGGGGUAAUGGCUACCAAGGCGUGAUCAGUAGCCGGUCUGAGAGGAUGAACUGCCACAUUGGGACUGAGACACGGUCCAGACUCCUACGGGAGGCAGCAGUGGGGAAUAUUGCACAAUGGGCGCAAGCCUGAUGCAGCCAUGCCGCGUGUGUGAAGAAGGCCUUCGGGUUGUAAAGCACUUGCAGCGAGGAGGCGUUACUCGCAGAAGAAGCACCGGCUAACUCCGUGCCAGCAGCCGCGGUAAUAC